GAUUCUGGCUCAGGACGAACGCUGGCGGCGUGCCUAACACAUGCAAGUCGAGCGGGGACAUGCGACGGAUAGGAAGAUUCGGUUGGACUUGAAGAUGCAUUGUCUAGCGGCGGACGGGUGAGUAACGCGUGAGCAACCUGUCCCUUACAGGGGGAUAACACAGCGAAAGUUGUACUAAUACCGCAUGAGACCACGGGAGGACAUCCUCCAGGGGUCAAAGGAGCAAUCCGGUAAGGGGUGGGCUCGCGUCCGAUUAGAUAGUUGGUGAGGUAACGGCCCACCAAGUCGACGAUCGGUAGCCGACCUGAGAGGGUGAUCGGCCACAUUGGGACUGAGACACGGCCCAAACUCCUACGGGAGGCAGCAGUGGGGAAUAUUGGGCAAUGGGGGGAAACCCUGACCCAGCAACGCCGCGUGAGGGAAGAAGGUUUUCGGAUCGUAAACCUCUGUCCUUGGUGAAGAGGAAGAGACGGUAGCCAAGGAGGAAGCCCCGGCUAACUACGUGCCAGCAGCGGC
rnacentral:rRNA from 1 species